rnacentral:tRNA from 1 species
UCCCCGGUAGCGCAGCUGGUAGCGCGCCUGGCUGUUAACCAGGAGGUCCUUGGUUCGAGACCAAGUCGGGGAG